UCGAGGAUCUUCGGCAAUGGGCGCAAGCCUGACCGAGCGACGCCGCGUGUGCGAUGAAGGCCUUCGGGUUGUAAAGCACUGUCGAGGGGGAUAAAGCCCGCAAGGGUUGAUAGAUCCCUGGAGGAAGCACGGGCUAAGUUCGUGCCAGCAGCCGCGGUAAGACGAACCGUGCGAACGUUGUUCGGAAUCACUGGGCUUAAAGGGCGCGUAGGCGGGGUCGUAAGUUCGUGGUGAAAUCUCCCGGCUCAACCGGGAAACUGCCGUGGAUACUGCGACUCUCGAGGGGUGUAGGGGCAUGCGGAACUUCCGGUGGAGCGGUGAAAUGCGUAGAUAUCGGAAGGAACGCCGGUGGCGAAAGCGGCGUGCUGGACACCUACUGACGCUGAGGCGCGAAAGCCAGGGGAGCGAACGGGAUUAGAUACCCCCGUAGUCC
rnacentral:rRNA from 1 species